AGAGUUUGAUCAUGGCUCAGAUUGAACGCUGGCGGUAUGCUUAACACAUGCAAGUCGAACGGUAACAGUCCCUCACCUAGAAAUUUCUUAAAAAGAGAUUUGUAGGUGAGGGAGCUGACGAGUGGCGGACGGGUGCGUAAUGUAUAGGAAUCUGCCUGGUAGUGGGGGACAACUCGGAGAAAUUCGAGCUAAUACCGCAUAAGCCCUACGGGGGAAAACGGGGGAUCUUCGGACCUCGUGCUAUUAGAUGAGCCUAUAUUAGAUUAGCUUGUUGGUGAGGUAAUGGCUUACCAAGGCGACGAUCUAUAGCUGGUCUGAGAGGAUGAUCAGCCACACUGGAACUGAGACACGGCCCAGACUCCUACGGGAGGCAGCAGUGGGGAAUAUUGGACAAUGGGCGAAAGCCUGAUCCAGCAAUACCGCGUGUGUGAAGAAGGCCUGAGGGUUGUAAAGCACUUUCAAUUGGGAGGAAUACCUAAUAGUUAAUAGCUAUUAGAUUGAC
rnacentral:rRNA from 1 species